UUUUUCUCUGGACUCUAAGCUGGUUGAUGCCACCAGGCCUUGGGAAAAAGCCUGCCUUCUGAUAGGAUUGCUAUUGAGUAGCAAAAAUUCUUGGAUUCUGAUAACAUCUUUCAUGCAGAAACUCAAAGCAUCUCCCAAAUUAUAAGCCCAUUCUUUUACACUGUUCUACACUCUCACACUCUAGGAACAACUCAUUUCAAUCUUGGGACAUUGACCAGAAUUCAGGGAAACUAGCAUGAUCCUUCCAGUCUGACGUUUCAUUCCAUCUACUGUCCAAAGCUGUGUCUACAAGGCAUCACCUAUGAGACAAUAAAACAAACCCUCUGAAAUCAGGAAAUUUGCCAGAAGAUGGCGAGCUGGGAAGAAAUAAAACCAGGAUUUGAGCCAGGAGUGGAACAUGGGGUUUUGUCUAGUUGCACAUUUCAACUCCAAUCAGCUAGCAGAAUCACCUUCUUCCAGUCUGGCCAUGCUUGAGAGUUUCUGUCCAACAUUGAGGAUUUAGCUGACAUAGAAAGCAUGGAAAUGAGUUCAUCCCUUUCAGCCUGGAUUCACUGCACCACAGGGACAGCUCUUCAGUUACCCAUUACAGAGGUUCAAAUGAUACUCCAACAGCUGGUGCAAUGAAGAAAGUAAAAUCAGGAAAUGCAAAGUUGAAUGGGCUACCACUUUACACAAUUUCUGACUUUGUUUUAUAGAUUAUUUUAUUACCAUCUAUACUUGUUUCGAGGCAUUGGAAAACUAAGUACUAUGUUACAUAACCAUUUACAUGUGAUUUGACGAUAAAGAUGGAGCUGUAAAAUAAAUAUUGCAGUGUUUUGUUUUUAAU
rnacentral:lncRNA from 1 species